UCCUUUAUCUUUGUGAACAGGAUUUUACUUCAGCAAGGUCCUCAUAAUGGACGACCGACAAUUCAACGUGUUUUGAUCGUUACACCGUCAAGUUUGGUCAAAAAUUGAGAAAAAGAAUAUCGUCGUUGGUUAGGUCGAGAGCGGAUAACUAUUUUUACUGCUGAUCAGGUAUUUCUCUUUUCCUGCAUUUAUAAAGAACCAAAACCAAUUUUUUUUAAAUUCCAGCAAAAUCGACCUAUAGAGUUUUUGAAAUAUCUUGUAUCCCCCGUCAUGGUGGUGUCGUAUGAAAUGCUAGUCCGCUGCUUUGAUGAAAUACAGCAAAUUAAUUUUGAUCUGGUUGUUUGCGACGAAGGACAUCGAUUAAAGAAUGCGGGCAAUAAAACAUCAUCGCUGCUCUCACAACUAGAUACUAACAGGAAAGUCCUGUUGACUGAAACCCCUGUUCAAAAUGAUUUGAAAGAAUUUUUCUCCUUGGCUGACUUUGUCAAUCCAGGCAUUUUAGGAAGCUUAUCUUGUAAUUAAUCUUUUUAAAACUAGUCGGGUUGUAAACACACCAUUAUUUCCAUGAUUCUUUUAACAGCAUCAUCGUUCUAGUAGAACGAUGACGCAUUUAAAAAAGGAGCCUAUGUGAAAGCAAAGUAAAUCACGAAAGAUUAUAUUUCCGCUUGCUUGUUGCCUGGAUUCAAAAUGGAUCUGCCACCGCCAACGAAAGCGCCUGGAACAACAUCACAACAACUACAGCCAACAAUCCGUUCGCCGGUUUAUUCGACACGGACAAUAUGGACGACUUGGGCUGGUUAUUGCCACCUAAUUUCAAACAUAACUUAUUCACGGUCAAUCCCUCAGCAACGUCAACUAUAACGAAGAAAAAUGUCAUCCUCUUCUUCGAUGACGUCAUUUUAACCAGAACAAGGUGGCGAAGAAGGCACAAACAUUCACACAAUGCAGAAUUGUAUCCUGACGACGCACCGGGUUUUCAAUAACGGCUCAGCAACGACAUCCUUGGUUGCGGAGUAUAAACAAGUCAUCAUUUUUAAUUUAAACAUUUAAAGCUUUUGCAGAAUGCAUAUGUAGUUAUA